GCCCCGUUAGCUCAACUGGACAGAGCAUCGGACUUCGGAUCCGAGGGUUGGGGGUUCGACUCCCUCACGGGGUG
rnacentral:tRNA from 1 species